rnacentral:lncRNA from 1 species
AAUGGGAUGAUGGAGAAAAGGCAAGUCCCAUGACUCCUGUUCACAUUGGGGUUGCUGAAAAUAGUAACAGUGCUGAAGAGAUGGAAUAUGAUGAUAAUGCUCAAGCAAUAGAAUAUGAUGAUAAUGCUCAAGCAAUAGAAUAUGAUGAUAAUGUUCAAGCAGUGGAAUCUUAUGAUAAUGCUCAAGCAAUGGAAUCUGAUGAUGAUGCUCAAGCAGUAGAAUAUGAUCAUGGAAACUGGGAGAUAGGUUAUAAUGGUGUCUCUCCUAAUGGAUGGA